rnacentral:rRNA from 1 species
ACUAACACCGGGCCCGGGACCGCGGUAAUACGGAUGGUGCAAGCGUUAUCCGGAUUGAUUGUGUUUAAAGUGUCCGUAUGCGGACCGGUAAGUCAGUGGUGAAAGCCUACAGCUUAACUGUAGAACUGCCGUUGAUACUGUCGGUCUUGAGUGUGGUUGAGGUAGCUGGAAUGAGUAGUGUAGCGGUGAAAUGCAUAGAUAUUACUCAGAACACCAAUUGCGAAGGCAGGUUACCAAGUCACAACUGACGCUGAUGGACGAAAGCGUGGGGAGCGAACAGGAUUAGAUACCCUGGUAGUC